UACAGAGGUCUCAAGCGUUGUUCGGAUUCAUUGGGCGUAAAGGGUGCGUAGGCGGCGCGGUAAGUCGGGUGUGAAAUUUCGAGGCUUAACUUCGAAACUGCAUUCGAUACUGCCGUGCUCGAGGACUGGAGAGGAGACUGGAAUUUACGGUGUAGCGGUGAAAUGCGUAGAUAUCGUAAGGAAGACCAGUGGCGAAGGCGGGUCUCUGGACAGUUCCUGACGCUGAGGCACGAAGGUCAGGGGAGCAAACGGG
rnacentral:rRNA from 1 species